UGUUAUAGUACUUUCAUAUGAAAAAGGGGUGUGCUCAUGCUACUCUUUCAUGACAAACUCACCUUUGUGAGACAACCUAUGCAUCACCUCUGUGAUCUUUCAAUUCUAUACAUUCAAGUAUAAGCACAAGGAAACCAACUCCUAUAUUCUCAUGUACUUGUCAUGGCGAUCUGUUUUCUGAAGACAAACUCACCUUCUUUGUGAGACAACCUUUGCAUCACCUCUGUGAUCUUGCAAUUCUAUACAUUCAAGUAUAAGCACAAGGAAACCAACUUCUAUAUUCUCAUGUACCUGUCAUGGCGACCUGUUUUCUGAAUGUUGUAUUCUUAAACUUGGCUAAACAACCUUUCUUAACCUGAUGACUAGUGUGCUCUGCCUAGAAUAUGGUUUUAUUUGGCUGGUGAGUCAAUUCACUCUUGAAGAUGCAUUUAACUCUGGGCGUAACUAGUAAAGUUGCUGCCAUAUGAUCAGGAGUUUACGGGUUCAAGCCGUGGAAAUUGACCUCUUGUAGAAAUGCACGGUAAGGCUGCGUACGAUAGACCCUUGUGGUUCGGCCCUUCCCCGGACCCCGUGCAUAGCGGGAGCUUAGUGCACCGGGCUGUCCUUUUUUACUCUUCAUCCCAGCUAAUUUGUUUGCCAGUCUCGUUAUCUGGCACGUAUCAAAAUGUUUGAUACCAUUUUACUAAUAAUAUUAUUUUAUACAAUUUUCACAAGUUUCUGGAAUACAAGUCUUUUAAACUAAUCCAAAAUUUAAGGUGUGAUUUGAUGUUUCUAUGUCACUAACUUCUUUAACUACUAUUUUAGUAUUUUCUGCCACUACUACUUAUUUAAUACACAAGUUGAAAUAAUGCAUUAACAUAAAAGUUGACAGAUGGUGUACUGUUCUAUGUUGCAUCAAAUCUGCCUAUAAGUAGGAACUUGCAAAUGAGAAAGAAAAAACUAAGCUCAUAUGUAUCUGAUUAUC
rnacentral:lncRNA from 1 species